UACGUAGGUGGCAAGCGUUGUCCGGAUUUAUUGGGCGUAAAGGGUGCGUAGGCGGUCUUCUAAGUUUGAUGUGAAAUCCCGGGGCUUAACCCUGGAAUUGCAUUGAAUACUGGAGGACUAGAGUACCGGAGAGGAAACUGGAAUUUACGGUGUAGCAGUGAAAUGCGUAGAGAUCGUAAGGAAGACCAGUGGCGAAGGCGAGUUUCUGGACGGUAACUGACGCUGAGGCACGAAGGCCAGGGGAGCAAACGGG
rnacentral:rRNA from 1 species